rnacentral:rRNA from 2 species
AACGUAGACCUCAAGCGUUAUCCGGAUUUAUUGGGCGUAAAGCGCGUGUAGGUGGUUUUGUGCGUCUUCUGUUAAAGCCCGGGGCCUAACCCCGGAAGUGCAGGAGAUACGACAGAACUGGAGGGGGUUAGAGGUGCAUAGAACGCACGGUGUAGGGGUGAAAUCCGUUGAUAUCGUGCGGAAUACCAAAGGCGAAGGCAUUGCACUGGGACCUUCCUGACACUGAGCCGCGAAAGCGUGGGGAGCAAAAAGG